rnacentral:misc_RNA from 1 species
GAUGAAGAACGUAGCGAAAUGCGAUAAUUAAUGUGAAUUGCAGAAUUCCGUGAAUCAUCGAGUCUUUGAACGCACAUUGCGCCCCCUGGUAUUCCGGGGGGCAUGCCUGUCCGAGCGUCAUUGCUGCCCAUCAAGCACGGCUUGUGUGUUGGGUCCUCGUCCCCCCCGGGGGACGUGCCCGAAAGGCAGCGGCGGCACCGCGUCCGGUCCUCGAGCGUAUGGGGCUUUGUCACCCGCUCUGCAGGCCCGGCCGGCGCUGGCCGACGCGAAAGCAACCAUUUUUUCUCCAGGUUGACCUCGGAUCAGGUAGGGAUACCCGCUGAACUUAAGCAUAUCAAUAAGCGGAGGA